rnacentral:rRNA from 1 species
GACGAACGCUGGCGGCGUGCUUAACACAUGCAAGUCGAACGGAAAUGCCCUGCUUUUGUGGGGUGCUCGAGUGGCGAACGGGUGAGUAACACGUGAGUAACCUUCCCUUGACUUUGGGAUAACUUCAGGAAACUGGGGCUAAUACCGGAUAGGAGCUCCUGCUGCAUGGUGGGGGUUGGAAAGUUUCGGCGGUUGGGGAUGGACUCGCGGCUUAUCAGCUUGUUGGUGGGGUAGUGGCUUACCAAGGCUUUGACGGGUAGCCGGCCUGAGAGGGUGACCGGCCAAAUUGGGACUGAGAUACGGCACAGACUCCUACGGGAGGCAGCAGUGGGGAAUAUUGCACAAUGGGCGGAAGCCUGAUGCAGCAACGCAGCGUGCGGGAUGACGGCCUUCGGGUUGUAAACCGAUUUCGCCUGUGACGAAGCGUGAGUGACGGUAAUGGGUAAAGAAGCACCGGCUAACUACGUG